UGGGGAAUAUUGGACAAUGGGCGAAAGCCUGAUCCAGCCAUGCCGCGUGUGUGAAGAAGGUCUUCGGAUUGUAAAGCACUUUAAGUUGGGAGGAAGGGCAGUUACCUAAUACGUAUCUGUUUUGACGUUACCGACAGAAUAAGCACCGGCUAACUCUGUGCCAGCAGCCGCGGUAAUACGUAGGGACCAAGCGUUGUUCGGAUUUACUGGGCGUAAAGGGCGCGUAGGCGGCAUGACAAGUCACUUGUGAAAUCUCUGGGCUUAACCCAGAACGGCCAAGUGAUACUGUCGCGCUAGAGUGCAGAAGGGGCAAUCGGAAUUCUUGGUGUAGCGGUGAAAUGCGUAGAUAUCAAGAGGAACACCUGAGGUGAAGACGGGUUGCUGGGCUGACACUGACGCUGAGGCGCGAAAGCCAGGGGAGCAAACGGGAUUAGAUACCCCAGUAGUCCCUGAGCGGGCUGGCAAGGCGCAU
rnacentral:rRNA from 1 species